CCUACGGGUGGCAGCAGUGGGGAAUAUUGGUCAAUGGGGGCAACUCUGAACCAGCCAUGCCGCGUGCAGGAAGACGGCUCUAUGAGUUGAAAACUGCUUUUGUACGGGGGAAAACGCAGAUACGCGUAUCUGACUGACAGUAUCGUACGAAUAAGGAUCGGCUAACUCAGUGCCAGCAGCCGCGGUAAUACGGAGGAUUCCAGCGUUAUCCGGAUUUAUUGGGUUUAAAGGGUGCGUAGGCGGUCGGAUAAGUUAGCGGUGAAAUCCCGAGGCUCAACUUCGGAAUUGCCUCUGAUACUGUGCGGCGAGAGAGUAGUAGCGGUAAGCGGAAUGUAUGGUGUAGCGGUGAAAUGCGUAGAGAU
rnacentral:rRNA from 1 species